UGGGGAAUAUUGCACAAUGGGGGAAACCCUGAUGCAGCGACGCCGCGUGAGCGAAGAAGGUUUUCGAAUCGUAAAGCUCUGUCCUAUGGGAAGAUAAUGACGGUACCAUAGGAGGAAGCCCCGGCUAACUACGUGCCAGCAGCCGCGGUAAUACGUAGGGGGCAAGCGUUGUCCGGAAUCACUGGGCGUAAAGCGCGCGCAGGUGGUUUAGAAAGUCUGAUGUGAAAGCCCACGGCUCAACCGUGGAGGGUCAUUGGAAACUAAUAAACUUGAGUGCAGGAGAGAAAAGUGGAAUUCCUAGUGUAGCGGUGAAAUGCGUAGAGAUUAGGAGGAACACCGGUGGCGAAAGCGGCUUUUUGGCCUGCAACUGACACUGAGGCGCGAAAGCGUGGGGAGCAAACAGG
rnacentral:rRNA from 1 species